rnacentral:lncRNA from 1 species
GAAAGGCAUGUGCUUCAUAAAUAUGUAUUGGAAAGUACUUAGCAAAUGAGUAGAAAUAAUAAAAAUAUGUCAAAGUAAACAGCUCCUAUAAAUAUGUCACUUGGUAGACAAAUUAGUGUUUUAUUACUACUAAAUACUAUUGCUCACCGAAAAGGAUUUCAGAUUACUUGCACAAUGGGUACAUUAUGGAGUGCCUCUGUGGAAAGGCACGAUAAAGAUGAAAAAUAGUGAUGGUGAUAAUGCCUAAGGUGGAGAAAAGAGGAGUAUGGGUAAAUGCAGCUCCGAGGCCUCAUCGCUUCAAUGAUAUGCACAUUAUUUAGCAGCAUUCCAAUGAUUUAGCCAUAAUGUGGACCAGAGGGCCCAGAGAAAGAUUUCCAUGGGAUGUCAUGAAUCCAGACUCCAAAUUACUGGGUCCAAUUAGUGGAUUAAAUGCACUCCCUUUCAGAACUCAGCACUCAGUUUAUAAACCAAGUUUACAAAAAGGAUAUCCCUGACUCUCAUUUUACUCUUAUUUUGGACCUAUUAUAUUUUCUCUGGGUAUGAUUCAUAUGCAGAGAAGAGAUGUCGUGGAGAACACUACACCUCUGUCACUGCUCAGGAAUCCAUUUCAGAAACAAGAGAGGAUGGACAAUGUCAGCAUCUCAAGGGAAAAGGAACCAGAGAGGGAAAAGAGGGACUUUAUUCUUUUUGUGGGCAAGAAUAAGCCUCUGGCAAGAAACAGAGAAGACAGGGAAUUGCAUCAAGGAAAGUUACAUAAAUAGCCAGGUAGGAAAAAAUAUGGGCACAUUUAAUUCAGAUAUAGAAAACUUCUAGAUCUUUCUGUGCAUUCCAGGUGAAGGAAAAGAAGUGGUUUCACAUUCCAGCUUAUCUGUAUGGUUUUGGGUAAAUUACUUAAUAUGAUAACAUGAAAUAAUAGCACUCAAGUUUACGGUUUUGUUUUUUUUUUUUACUGGGAUUUGAAAGCAG